AUUGAACGCUGGCGGCAGGCCUAACACAUGCAAGUCGAGCGGUAGCACAGAGAGCUUGCUCUCGGGUGACGAGCGGCGGACGGGUGAGUAAUGUCUGGGAAACUGCCUGAUGGAGGGGGAUAACUACUGGAAACGGUAGCUAAUACCGCAUAAUGUCGCAAGACCAAAGUGGGGGACCUUCGGGCCUCAUGCCAUCAGAUGUGCCCAGAUGGGAUUAGCUAGUAGGUGGGGUAACGGCUCACCUAGGCGACGAUCCCUAGCUGGUCUGAGAGGAUGACAACACACGCUGGAACUGAGACACGGUCCAGACUCCUACGGGAGGCAGCAGUGGGGAAUAUUGCACAAUGGGCGCAAGCCUGAUGCAGCCAUGCCGCGUGUGUGAAGAAGGCCUUCGGGUUGUAAAGCACUUUCAGCGGGGAGGAAGGCGUUAAGGUUAAUAACCUUGGCGAUUGACGUUACCCGCAGAAGAAGCACCGGCUACCUCCGUGCCAGCAGCCGCCGUAA
rnacentral:rRNA from 1 species